rnacentral:lncRNA from 1 species
GGCAUGCUUAUUUAAGAUGGUGAGGAAGGCACUUUUAAAGAAUAACCAGGCAUCCUCUACUGACGGGAUGAGGUCAAUAUCCUUCCAGGAUACCCUGGCCAGGUCGAUUAGAAAGGCCUGCUUGCUGAAGUGUUUUAGGGAGCGUUUGACAGUGAUGAGGGGUGGUCCACGGGAGGGGUGCGUCACUUGAGUGGGUUGAGUCACUGACGUGGUCUUCCUGUCUGGGUUGUCCCCCCCCUCCCCCCCUCCUUGGUUUGUGCCGUGGCGGAGCUCUUUGUGGGCUAUACUCGGCCUUGUCUUAGGACGGUAAGUUGGUGGUUGGAGACAUCCCUCUAGUGGUGUGGGGGCUGUGCUUUGGCAAAGUGGGUGGGGUUAUAUCCUGCCUGUUUGGCCCUGUCCGGGGGUAUCAUCGGAUGGGGCCACAGUGUCUUCUGAUCCCUCCUGUCUCAGCCUCCAGUAUUUAUGCUGCAGUAGUUUAUGUGUCGGGGGGCUAGGGUCAGUCUGUUACAUCUGGAGUAUUUCUCUUGUCUUAUCCGGUGUCCUGUGUGAAUUUAAAUAUGCUCUCUCUAAUUCUCUCUUUCUUUCUCUCGGAGGACCUGAGCCCUAGGACCAUGCCUCAGGACUACCUGGCAUGAUUACUCCUUGCUGUUCCCAGUCCACCUGGCCGUGCUGCUGCUCCAGUUUCAACUGUUCUGCCUGCGGCUAUGGAACCCUGACCUGUUCACCGGACGUGCUUGUUGCACCCUCGACAAUUACUAUGAUUAUUAUUAUUUGACCAUGCUGGUCAUUUAUGAACAUUUUAACAUCUUGACCAUGUUCUGUUAUAAUAUCCACCCGGCACAGCCAGAAGAGAACUGGCCACCCCUCAUAGCCUGGUUCCUCUCUAGGUUUCUUUCUAGGUUUUUGGCCUUUCUAGGGAGUUUUUCCUAGGGAGUUUUUCCUAGCCACCGUGCUUCUUUCACAUGCAUUGCUUGCUAUUUGGGGUUUUAGGCUGGGUUUCUGUACAGCACUUUGAGAUAUCAACUGAUGUACGAAGGGCUAUAUAAAUAAAUUUGAUUUGAUCUAAAGAAUAAUUUUAAUGGAGGUAUUUUCCACUCCGACUGUGACCCUUUUGGUCACUUUCUUUGUCUUGUUAUCAUCUGUAACAUCAUUAUUAUUAUUACCAACAUUUAUGGGUACAAUUCCAAACUUGAAAAUGAUCAGUUCC